rnacentral:tRNA from 1 species
GGGGUUGCGGCUCAGCGGCAGAGUGCUCGCCUAGCACGGGCGAGGUGCUGAGUUCAAUACUCAGCACCACA